rnacentral:rRNA from 1 species
AUGACGAUGACGGCGCCCGCCAGGUCCUGGGCCGAUCUCCACAGCGAGCUCGUGGUGUCCAUCGCCGCCAUGAUGGCCGCCGACGGCUCGCCUCUGAGAGACUACGAGAGCCUCCGCUGCGUCUGCACCGCGUGGCGAUCCGCCCUCGUGCCGCCGUACCCCUGCCUGCUCUCCCUCGCUGACGCCGCCUCCGUCUUCUCCCUCCCGAUGCGACGCUCGCUCCGCAUCUACACGUCGAGCGAAGCGCUCGACCGUACCCUGAGCCGCCUCGGCCGCACCGGCUGCCGUGUCCGCGUCGUCGGCUCAGCCAACGGCCGCCUCGCUGUCGCCGUCGACGACGGCGACCUCAACUACGCUAGGAUCCUUCUCCUCGACCCCCACAGAGGCCGCGUGGUCGUCGAGCUCCCACUUCCCUACGAGUGGGUACGCAAGGUCGUGUUCACGGCCGACGGCACCGUCAUGGCCGCGUGUGAUCACGGGAAGGCGGUCUACGUCGGCAUCCGCAGCGGGUGGGUAAAGGGCAUGCAGUGGACGCUCGUCGACAACAUCGAUGGCGAUGCUCUCGCGGACCUGGCCUUGGACGCCGGAGGCGAGAGGCUGUAUUGCCUCGACAGAGGCGGGGCCGUGCGCGUGCUCCGCAUCCCCAGGAACGGCCAGAACAGCCAGGAGGCUACGGCCGUGGCCACUUUGCCUCCGUUGAUCCGCCUGUCUGCCGUCUUCCCCGCGCCGUACGACGCCGCGUCCAGGCUGACGGUAAUCAGGCAUCUCUUCUUCUGCCAUGGUAGCCUGUACCAGAUAUGGCAGAAAGCUGCCGCCCCCGUCAAGCUGGGCUGUGGAUUGACUACUGCGCCCGCGGACGAGAUCUUCGUCCUGAGAUAUGACCCCAAACAAUGGCCGGCCUGGGAAGCGGUAAAGGAUCUAGGAGGCCGCUCCGUGUUCGUCGGCCAGAACAGCAGCCCGGUGGUGGUGCGAGCCGCCGGCGUCGGCGCCAUGCCACGGGUACGAGCCGACUGCGUGUACUGGAUCAGCGGCCUGGGCAUCCCGAUGGUGUGCGAUGUGGCCGCCGGUAGUACCUCCGAGCCGUGCGUCACCCCCGGAGGAGUUUGCCGUGGUGUCUGCUGGUACUUCGGCGAUGAAAACAUGGCAAGCAUUGACCGCGGCGCCGGCGGGAGAGACUAA